UACCAGCACCCCGAGUGGUCGGGACGUUUACUGGGCCUAAAGCAUCCGUAGCCGGUUCUACAAGUCUUCCGUUAAAUCCAGCUGCUUAACAGAUGGGCUGCGGAAGAUACUAUGGAGCUAGGAGGCGGGAGAGGCAAGCGGUACUCGAUGGGUAGGGGUAAAAUCCGUUGAUCCAUUGAAGACCACCAGUGGCGAAGGCGGCUUGCCAGAACGCGCUCGACGGUGAGGGAUGAAAGCUGGGGGAGCAAACCGG
rnacentral:rRNA from 1 species